GCCUGGUUGGCUCAGUCAGCUAAGCGUCUGACUUCUGCUCAGGUUAUGAUCUCACAGUUUGUGGGUUCAAGCCCCCCAUCAGGCU
rnacentral:tRNA from 1 species